rnacentral:rRNA from 1 species
CCUACGGGAGGCAGCAGUGAGGAAUAUUGGUCAAUGGACGAGAGUCUGAACCAGCCAAGUAGCGUGAAGGAUGACUGCCCUAUGGGUUGUAAACUUCUUUUAUAUGGGAAUAAACUGUUCCACGUGUGGGAUUUUGUAUGUACCAUAUGAAUAAGGAUCGGCUAACUCCGUGCCAGCAGCCGCGGUAAUACGGAGGAUCCGAGCGUUAUCCGGAUUUAUUGGGUUUAAAGGGAGCGUAGGUGGAUUGUUAAGUCAGUUGUGAAAGUUUGCGGCUCAACCGUAAAAUUGCAGUUGAAACUGGCAGUCUUGAGUACAGUAGAGGUGGGCGGAAUUCGUGGUGUAGCGGUGAAAUGCUUAGAGAUCACGAAGAACUCCGAUUGCGAAGGCAGUUCACUGGACUGCAACUGACACUGAGGCUCGAAAGUGUGGGUAUCAAACAGGAUUAGAUACCCGGGUAGUC